CUAUGUGGGAUGGCUGAGGGGUGCAGGGUUCAAUAAUAACUAUGUGGGAUGGCUGAGGGGUGCAGGGUUCAAUAACAACUAUGUGGGAUGGCUGAGGGGUGCAGGGUUCAAUAACAACUAUGUGGGAUUGCUGAGGGGUGCAAGGUUUAAUAACUAUGUGGGAUGGCUGAGGGGUGCAGGGUUCAAUAACAACUAUGUGGGAUUGCUGAGGGGUGCAAGGUUUAAUAACUAUGUGGGAUGGCUGAGGGGUGCAGGGUUCAAUAACAACUAUGUGGGAUUGCUGAGGGGUGCAAGGUUUAAUAACUAUGUGGGAUGGCUGAGGGGUGCAGGGUUCAAUAACAACUAUGUGGGAUUGCUGAGGGGUGCAAGGUUUAAUAACUAUGUGGGAUGGCUGAGGGGUGCAGGGUUCAAUAACAACUAUGUGGGAUUGCUGAGGGGUGCAGAGACAGUCUGGGAUAUUAAAUAGAACACCCUGAUAGGUUAUUGUAUACAGUGGUUCAUUCAGGAGUCUGAUGGUAGCAGAGACAGUCUGGGAUAUUAAAUAGAACACCCUGAUAGGUUAUUGUAUACAGUGGUUCAUUCAGGAGUCUGAUGGUAGCAGAGACAGUCUGGGAUAUUAAAUAGAACACCCUGAUAGGUUAUUGUAUACAGUGGUUCAUGCAGGAGUCUGAUGGUAGCAGAGACAGUCUGGGAUAUUAAAUAGAACACCCUGAUAGGUUAUUGUAUACAGUGGUUCAUGCAGGAGUCUGAUGGUAGCAGAGACAGUCUGGGAUAUUAAAUAGAACACCCUGAUAGGUUAUUGUAUACAGUGGUUCAUGCAGGAGUCUGAUGGUAGCAGAGACAGUCUGGGAUAUUAAAUAGAACACCCUGAUAGGUUAUUGUAUACAGUGGUUCAUUCAGGAGUCUGAUGGUAGCAGAGACAGUCUGGGAUAUUAAAUAGAACACCCUGAUAGGUUAUUGUAUACAGUGGUUCAUGCAGGAGUCUGAUGGUAGCAGAGACAGUCUGGGAUAUUAAAUAGAACACCCUGAUAGGUUAUUGUAUACAGUGGUUCAUUCAGGAGUCUGAUGGUAGCAGAGACAGUCUGGGAUAUUAAAUAGAACACCCUGAUAGGUUAUUGUAUACAGUGGUUCAUGCAGGAGUCUGAUGGUAGCAGAGACAGUCUGGGAUAUUAAAUAGAACACCCUGAUAGGUUAUUGUAUACAGUGGUUCAUUCAGGAGUCUGAUGGUAGCAGAGACAGUCUGGGAUAUUAAAUAGAACACCCUGAUAGGUUAUUGUAUACAGUGGUUCAUUCAGGAGUCUGAUGGUAGCAGAGACAGUCUGGGAUAUUAAAUAGAACACCCUGAUAGGUUAUUGUAUACAGUGGUUCAUGCAGGAGUCUGAUGGUAGCAGAGACAGUCUGGGAUAUUAAAUAGAACACCCUGAUAGGUUAUUGUAUACAGUGGUUCAUGCAGGAGUCUGAUGGUAGCAGAGACAGUCUGGGAUAUUAAAUAGAACACCCUGAUAGGUUAUUGUAUACAGUGGUUCAUGCAGGAGUCUGAUGGUAGCAGAGACAGUCUGGGAUAUUAAAUAGAACACCCUGAUAGGUUAUUGUAUACAGUGGUUCAUGCAGGAGUCUGAUGGUAGCAGAGACAGUCUGGGAUAUUAAAUAGAACACCCUGAUAGGUUAUUGUAUACAGUGGCUCAUGCAGGAGUCUGAUGGUAGCAGAGACAGUCUGGGAUAUUAAAUAGAACACCCUGAUAGGUUAUUGUAUACAGUGGUUCAUUCAGGAGUCUGAUGGUAGCAGAGACAGUCUGGGAUAUUAAAUAGAACACCCUGAUAGGUUAUUGUAUACAGUGGUUCAUUCAGGAGUCUGAUGGUAGCAGAGACAGUCUGGGAUAUUAAAUAGAACACCCUGAUAGGUUAUUGUAUACAGUGGUUCAUUCAGGAGUCUGAUGGUAGCAGAGACAGUCUGGGAUAUUAAAUAGAACACCCUGAUAGGUUAUUGUAUACAGUGGUUCAUGCAGGAGUCUGAUGGUAGCAGAGACAGUCUGGGAUAUUAAAUAGAACACCCUGAUAGGUUAUUGUAUACAGUGGUUCAUGCAGGAGUCUGAUGGUAGCAGAGACAGUCUGGGAUAUUAAAUAGAACACCCUGAUAGGUUAUUGUAUACAGUGGUUCAUGCAGGAGUCUGAUGGUAGCAGAGACAGUCUGGGAUAUUAAAUAGAACACCCUGAUAGGUUAUUGUAUACAGUGGUUCAUGCAGGAGUCUGAUGGUAGCAGAGACAGUCUGGGAUAUUAAAUAGAACACCCUGAUAGGUUAUUGUAUACAGUGGUUCAUGCAGGAGUCUGAUGGUAGCAGAGACAGUCUGGGAUAUUAAAUAGAACACCCUGAUAGGUUAUUGUAUACAGUGGCUCAUGCAGGAGUCUGAUGGUAGCAGAGACAGUCUGGGAUAUUAAAUAGAACACCCUGAUAGGUUAUUGUAUACAGUGGUUCAUUCAGGAGUCUGAUGGUAGCAGAGACAGUCUGGGAUAUUAAAUAGAACACCCUGAUAGGUUAUUGUAUACAGUGGUUCAUUCAGGAGUCUGAUGGUAGCAGAGACAGUCUGGGAUAUUAAAUAGAACACCCUGAUAGGUUAUUGUAUACAGUGGUUCAUGCAGGAGUCUGAUGGUAGCAGAGACAGUCUGGGAUAUUAAAUAGAACACCCUGAUAGGUUAUUGUAUACAGUGGUUCAUGCAGGAGUCUGAUGGUAGCAGAGACAGUCUGGGAUAUUAAAUAGAACACCCUGAUAGGUUAUUGUAUACAGUGGUUCAUGCAGGAGUCUGAUGGUAGCAGAGACAGUCUGGGAUAUUAAAUAGAACACCCUGAUAGGUUAUUGUAUACAGUGGUUCAUGCAGGAGUCUGAUGGUAGCAGAGACAGUCUGGGAUAUUAAAUAGAACACCCUGAUAGGUUAUUGUAUACAGUGGUUCAUUCAGGAGUCUGAUGGUAGCAGAGACAGUCUGGGAUAUUAAAUAGAACACCCUGAUAGGUUAUUGUAUACAGUGGUUCAUGCAGGAGUCUGAUGGUAGCAGAGACAGUCUGGGAUAUUAAAUAGAACACCCUGAUAGGUUAUUGUAUACAGUGGUUCAUGCAGGAGUCUGAUGGUAGCAGAGACAGUCUGGGAUAUUAAAUAGAACACCCUGAUAGGUUAUUGUAUACAGUGGUUCAUGCAGGAGUCUGAUGGUAGCAGAGACAGUCUGGGAUAUUAAAUAGAACACCCUGAUAGGUUAUUGUAUACAGUGGUUCAUGCAGGAGUCUGAUGGUAGCAGAGACAGUCUGGGAUAUUAAAUAGAACACCCUGAUAGGUUAUUGUAUACAGUGGUUCAUGCAGGAGUCUGAUGGUAGCAGAGACAGUCUGGGAUAUUAAAUAGAACACCCUGAUAGGUUAUUGUAUACAGUGGUUCAUGCAGGAGUCUGAUGGUAGCAGAGACAGUCUGGGAUAUUAAAUAGAACACCCUGAUAGGUUAUUGUAUACAGUGGUUCAUGCAGGAGUCUGAUGGUAGCAGAGACAGUCUGGGAUAUUAAAUAGAACACCCUGAUAGGUUAUUGUAUACAGUGGUUCAUUCAGGAGUCUGAUGGUAGCAGAGACAGUCUGGGAUAUUAAAUAGAACACCCUGAUAGGUUAUUGUAUACAGUGGCUCAUGCAGGAGUCGGUCCUUACACCCUAGAGGCCUUUUUUUAAGUCUCUGUAUUCCUAGAACAAUAAGCAUUCAUCUAUUGUAAUCACAGCUACCCACCUCUCUCUUCUCCUCCUCCUCUCCUUCUCAUCCUCUAUAAUGAUGAAGUGCUCUGACAGACAGAGCUGCUGUCUUGAUGUAUCAUUCAUCACUGUGGACUGUGCUGGAUUAUGGCUGCUAGUAGUUCUCUGGCCUGGCAGACACACAGUGAGGGAAGCAGGAGUAUGGCUGCAAGUAGUUCUCUGGCCUGGCAGACACACAGUGAGGGGGUUUUAAUGUCAAGGAGAUGUGGGGGGAACCGGGAGGAGAAGUAUUAAGAUCAAUAACCCAAGCCGGUCUGAAGUGGCUACUCUUAUUUCAACUGUUUCUCCCAAGUGCCAGGACGCCAAGGGAACGUGAGGAGGAGAAUAGACACAAAAUAAUGAAGCAUUUUCUCUUGUUUUAAUCUACCGAUGGUUUCAUAUUUAGUCACUGCCCUGCUAUGCUUCUUUUUCCCCUGUGCAAUUCCUCACUCAAAUAUGUAGUUGUAAUGAACUAAUCAUGCGUAGGUACAUUUGUACAGACCUUUUCCAUCAGCAGCCAUUGAUAAAUUUGACAUGUGUUUCCACAAUAAGAAAAAAACCAGCUCAGCCCAGAGCACACAGGGCUGAGACAGAGAGGGAGUUGUGUAAGGGGGAUGGAA